rnacentral:lncRNA from 1 species
CUUUCCAAUUCCUCUCUGUUGCUCCCUUCUUUCUUACAACCUAUCUUAGUUUUAGGGUAAAGCUUUGGGAUUUAAAACAAAGUCUAAUCUGAUCUAGAUAAGGGUUGGAAAGAUCCUAAAGAAGGAUAUUUAGAAGUUCAGAGAAAGUUCUAAGAGUGUCGAGUCAGGUUCUUGGUGAAACUUGAUCCAUGUAGGGUUUCAGGGUGGACAUGCACAGCGAAAGCAUAAUGGAUUUCAAAAUUUAAAUUAUAAAAUCUUAAAUAUUA